rnacentral:rRNA from 1 species
UGCAUUCUUGGUCCAAUUAGAGGAAGUAAAAGUCGUAACAAGGUUUCCGUAGGUGAACCUGCGGAAGGAUCAUUACCGAGUGUAGGGUUCCUAGCGAGCCCACCUCCCACCCGUGUUUACUGUACCUUAGUUGCUUCGGCGGGCCCGCCAUUCAUGGCCGCCGGGGGCUCUCAGCCCCGGGCCCGCGCCCGCCGGAGACACCACGAACUCUGUCUGAUCUAGUGAAGUCUGAGUUGAUUGUAUCGCAAUCAGUUAAAACUUUCAACAAUGGAUCUCUUGGUUCCGGCAUCGAUGAAGAACGCAGCGAAAUGCGAUAACUAGUGUGAAUUGCAGAAUUCCGUGAAUCAUCGAGUCUUUGAACGCACAUUGCGCCCCCUGGUAUUCCGGGGGGCAUGCCUGUCCGAGCGUCAUUGCUGCCCAUCAAGCACGGCUUGUGUGUUGGGUCGUCGUCCCCUCUCCGGGGGGGACGGGCCCAAAGGCAGCGGCGGCACCGCGUCCGAUCCUCGAGCGUAUGGGGCUUUGUCACCCGCUCUGUAGGCCCGGCCGGCGCUUGCCGAACGCAAAUCAAUCUUUUCCAGGUGACCUCGGAUCAGGAGGUAUU